CAGCCGCCACGGUAAUACGGAGGGUGCAAGCGUUAAUCGGAAUUACUGGGCGUAAAGCGCACGCAGGCGGUCUGACAAGUCAGAUGUGAAAUCCCCGGGCUUAACCUGGGAACUGCAUUUGAAACUGUCAGGCUGGAGUCUUGUAGAGGGGGGUGGAAUUCCAGGUGUAGCGGUGAAAUGCGUAGAGAUCUGGAGGAAUACCGGUGGCAAAGGCGGCCCCCUGGACAAAGACUGACGCUCAGGUGCGAAAGCGUGGGGAGCAAACAGGAUUAGAUACCCCUGUAGUCCCUGUCUCUUAUAC
rnacentral:rRNA from 1 species